AGUUACUGUAUUUGAAGGGUAUAUGGGGAAGUUGGAAACACCACAGCUUAACUAGGCAGUAAUGUAGGAGUCAGUGUCUCAGAGAGAAACUCUUCCAAGAGGAUUUGUAAAUAGCGGUGCUGUUAGAGCACACACACACACAGAGACUGACUGAGAGACAGAGACUGAGCGAGACAGACAGAGUGGGGGAGACCGAGAAAGAGAGACUGGGAGACAUUGACAAAUAGACUGAAUGUGGGCGGAACCCACAUGCAUUAUAAAACCAGUCUUCCGAAAGCUACCCCAAGUUUGUGUUUGAGUGAGUGAGGGAGAGAGUUAGUAGCUGUGGGGAUCAGUGUGAGAAUGACUGAGUUAUGUGACUGACCCAGAAUACUUGUUCCAAACUUCAUCGUCGUAGAAAAUCCAAGGAGAUUUGGAAUUUGGACCCCGCCAUUUGGAAUCAGUGUACCGACCACACGGCAAGCAGAGAAUGGGGGUGAAGGGACUCACCUGUUUCCCAUGGCACACCAGGCGCAAGGAGCGUGGCAAACUGGCAAAAUCUCCGAGUGCUGAAGGAAGCCCAGGCCCGGAUGAGGUGCUGCGAAGGAGUAAGGGGAUCAGCGACGAUCCGAAACACUGCGCCUACUACAGCCAGAAAGCUCACCUCUCCUUCCGGCAUGAACUGGAAUCAGCCACCUCAGUCAUCGACUCCACCAACUGAUCCCCCACCGCCCGCCUCCCAGAGAAUCCGACCCCGGCUCCCGGGGCCAAUCCCAGCAUCCCCAGAUCAUCACGGCGCUCUGGGUUUGGGGCGGGGGUGGGCGAGGGUGAAGGACAGGAGUCAGGCAACUUGCAAACAUAUCAUACGGACUGAUAUAUUUGAUCCACUCCAUUAUCCUGAUGGGACUUUCUUUCACACCACUGGGUGGUGGUGGGGUGAGCUGUGUUCCUGAACUGCUGCAGUCUAGGGGGGUAUAGGAAUUCUCAAUGCCAUUGGAUAAGGAAUUCCAGCUUUUAAAUCCAGUCAUAGGAAACCAACAGUAACAUAUUUCCAAACCCAGGAUGGUGUGUGACUUGUGUUAUCCAGAGUAUUCCCUCCCCCUCCUGACCUGUGCGUUGUAGAUGGUGGGUCAGGCUUUGGGGGGAGUCAGGAGGGAGUUACUCGCUGCAGGAUUCCCAGCCCCUGCCCUGCUCCCGUAGACACUGAGUUGAUGUGGGGAGUCCAGUUGAGUUUCUGGUCAAUGGUAACCCCCAGGAUGUUGAUAGUGGGGGAUUCAGUGAUGGGAACACCAUUGAAUGUCAAGGGGGCGGUGGUGAGAUUGUCUCCUGUAGGAGGUGGUCACAGCCUGGGAUUUAUGUGGGGUGAAUGUUACUUGCCCCUUGUCAGCCCAAGCCUGGAUAUUGUCCAGAUCUUGCUGCAUUUAAACUGCUUCAGUCUCUGAGGGAGCGGGGUGGAUGGUGCUGAACACUGUGUAAUCAUCGGUGAGGAUCCCCACUUCGGACCUUCUGAUGGAGGGAAGGUCAUUGAGGAAGCAGCUGAAGAUGGUUGGGCUGAGGACACUCCCCUGAGGGACUCCUGCAGAGAUGGCCUGGAGCUGAGGGGACUGACCCUCCAACCACCACCACCACCUUCCCAUGUGCCAGGUAUAGCUGUAACCAGAGGAAUGCUUGUCCCUGAUACCCACUGAUUCCAGAUUUCCCCGGGCUCCUUGAUGUCACACUCGGUCGAAUGCAGCCUUGAUGUCAAGGGCUGUCCCUCUUCCCUCCCCUCUGGAAUUCCGCUCUUUUGUCCAUGUUUGACCCAAGGCUGGGAAUGAGGUCAGGAGCUGAGUGACCCUGGGGGAUCCCAAACUGGGCGUCACUGAGCAGGUUAUUGCUGAGCGGGUGCUGUUGAUGACCCCUUCCAUCACUUUCCUGAUGAUCGAGAGGAGACUGAUGGGGAGGGAGUUGGCCGGGUUGGAUUUCUCCUGCUUUUUCUGUGCAGGACAUACCUGGGCAAUUUUCCCCCUUGUUGGCUAGAUGCCAGUGUUGACACCUUGUCGAUGAACUAUGUUACCAGCAAAUCCAGAACAAAGCUCUUUCACAAACAUAUGGAUAAGGAUGAGGGAGAGAUUGAUGAACAGAGGCUGCUGGAGCCUGGAGAGAGCAGUCGAGAAUAACACUCAUUUAAAAACCGAACAUGCAGAGGUACACUCAACACCAGAAUGUACUGAGGAAGCAGGCAUACAGCAGGACAGGCAAAACAUCUCAUCAGCAGGUCCUGACAGAGUCACAGAGAUGUACAGCACAGAAACAGACCCUUCAGUCCAACCCGUCCGUACCGACCAGAUAUCCCAACCCAAUCUAGUCCCACCUGCCAGCACCCGGCCCAUAUCCCUCCAAACCCUUCCUAUUCAUAUCUCCAUCCAGAUGCCUCUGAAAUGUUGUAAUUGUACCAGCCUCCACCACAUCCUCUGGCAGCUCAUUCCAUACCCGUACCACCCUCUGUGUGGAAAAGUUGCCCAUUAAGGUCCUUUUAAAUCUUCCCCUCUCACCCUAAACCUAUACCCUCUAGUUCUGGACUCCCCCACCCCAACGAAAAGACUAUCUAUUUACUCUAUCCAUGUCCCUCAUAAUUUUGUAAACCUCUAUAAGGUCACCCCUGAGCCUCCGCGCUCCAGGGAAAACAGCCCCAGCCUGUUCAGCCUCUCCCUGUAGCUCAGACCCUCCAACCCUGGCAACAUCCUUGUAAAUCUUUUCUGAACUCUUUCAAGUUUCCCCACAUCCUUCCAAUAGGAAGGAGACCAGAAUUGCACAUAAUAUUCCAACAGUGGCCUAACCAAUGUCCUGUACAGCCGCAACAUGACCUCCCAGUAUACUGGGAGAGAGUGAGGUCUGCAGAUGCUGGAGUAUCAGAGCUGAAAAUGUGUUGCUGGAAAAGCGCAGCAGGUCAGGCAGCAUCCGAGGAACAGGACGUUUCGGGCAGAAGCCCUUCGUCCCAAUAUGCUGACCAACAAAGGAAAGCAUACCAAACGCUGCCUUCACUAUGCUGCACCUCCACUUUCAAGGAACAGGAUGGAGAGAAUGGCCUCCCGCGGGGGGACAUGUGAUACGUGCAGAUGGUGAAACAGAGCUGACCGAGAAAUGGGGAAUCUGCAGGAACCGAUGGUACCGAGAGGCAGAAGCUCAAACAGUCUGAAUUCGGGACAGCCCACACCCUCAGCAGCAAUGAUUGUGGGGAAUUGGAAAACAGCCACGUUAACUACUGAACCGCAAUCGUGGGUUUGCACCGUUUUACAAAGUGAAACAGAACACAAUCCCAGGGACGGAUCACCAUCAGCACUCGGGGGUGUUUGGAAAGGUGAUGAAUUCAGCAGCGAAGUGGUUCCCGGAGAUUGUCUGUCUGGUUUCCUGGCCUGCCUUUGUAACACUGGCUGGCUUUCUGAUACUCAACGCCCCACAUCACUCCUGGGUCAGGCAGCAGCACACGCAGACAAAGAUCCCUGCACACAUUUUAUAUUAAAGUUUGGAUUUAAUACCAGAAUAAACUUGCAUUGAUGCAGCUUAUCAAAACACCAAAA